UACGAAGGGGGCUAGCGUUGCUCGGAAUCACUGGGCGUAAAGGGUGCGUAGGCGGGUCUUUAAGUCAGGGGUGAAAUCCUGGAGCUCAACUCCAGAACUGCCUUUGAUACUGGCGAUCUCGAGUCCGGGAGAGGUGAGUGGAACUGCGAGUGUAGAGGUGAAAUUCGUAGAUAUUCGCAAGAACACCAGUGGCGAAGGCGGCUCACUGGCCCGGUACUGACGCUGAGGUGCGAAAGCGUGGGGAGCAAACAGGG
rnacentral:rRNA from 1 species